CGCGUAGGUAACCUGCCUUGUAGCGGGGGAUAACUAUUGGAAACGAUAGCUAAUACCGCAUAACAAUGGAUGACACAUGUCAUUUAUUUGAAAGGGGCAAUUGCUCCACUACAAGAUGGACCUGCGUUGUAUUAGCUAGUAGGUGAGGUAACGGCUCACCUAGGCGACGAUACAUAGCCGACCUGAGAGGGUGAUCGGCCACACUGGGACUGAGACGCGGCCCAG
rnacentral:rRNA from 1 species